GUCAGGCUUGGUGGCACAUGCCUGUAGUCCCAGCUCUUCAGGAGGCUGAGGCAGGAAGAUUGAUUGAGCCCAGGAGUUCUGGGCCAGCCUAGGCACAUAGCAACAUCCCAGAUCUU
rnacentral:sRNA from 1 species